AGAAUUUAGCAGAGAUGCUUUAGUGCCUUCGGGAACUCUGAGACAGGUGCUGCAUGGCUGUCGUCAGCUCGUGUUGUGAAUGUUGGGUUAAGUCCCGNAACGAGCGCAACCCUUAUCCUUUGUUGCCAGCACGUAAUGGUGGGAACUCAAAGGAGACUGCCGGUGAUAAACCGGAGGAAGGUGGGGAUGACGUCAAGUCAUCAUGGCCCUUACGAGUAGGGCUACACACGUGCUACAAUGGCGCAUACAAAGAGAAGCGACCUCGCGAGAGCAAGCGGACCUCAUAAAGUGCGUCGUAGUCCGGAUUGGAGUCUGCAACUCGACUCCAUGAAGUCGGAAUCGCUAGUAAUCGUAAAUCAGAAUGUUACGGUGAAUACGUUCCCGGGCCUUGUACACACCGCCCGUCACACCAUGGGAGUGGGUUGCAAAAGAAGUAGAUAGCUUAACCUUCGGGAGGGCGUUUACCACUUUGUGAUUCAUGACUGGGGUGAAGUCGUAACAAGGUAAGCGUAGUGCU
rnacentral:rRNA from 1 species